UACGUAGGUGGCGAGCGUUGUCCGGAUUUACUGGGCGUAAAGAGCGCGCAGGCGGCUGGUCAAGUCCGAUGUGAAAGCUCCCGGCUUAACUGGGAAAUUGCAUCGGAAACUGAUCGGCUGGAAGGUGGGAGAGGGUAGCGGAAUUCCCGGUGUAGUGGUGAAAUGCGUAGAUAUCGGGAGGAACACCAGUGGCGAAGGCGACUACCUGGCCUGUUCUUGACGCUGAGGCGCGAAAGCUAGGGAGCAAACGGG
rnacentral:rRNA from 1 species